GAUGAACGCUGGCGGCGUGCCUAAUACAUGCAAGUCGAGCGAACAGACGAGGAGCUUGCUCCUUCGACGUUAGCGGCGGACGGGUGAGUAACACGUAGGUAACCUACCUAUAAGACUGGGAUAACUUCGGGAAACCGGAGCUAAUACCGGAUAAUAUUUCGAACCGCAUGGUUCGAUAGUGAAAGAUGGCUUUGCUAUCACUUAUAGAUGGACCUGCGCCGUAUUAGCUAGUUGGUAAGGUAACGGCUUACCAAGGCAACGAUACGUAGCCGACCUGAGAGGGUGAUCGGCCACACUGGAACUGAGACACGGUCCAGACUCCUACGGGAGGCAGCAGUAGGGAAUCUUCCGCAAUGGGCGAAAGCCUGACGGAGCAACGCCGCGUGAGUGAUGAAGGUCUUCGGAUCGUAAAACUCUGUUAUUAGGGAAGAACAAACGUGUAAGUAACUGUGCACGUCUUGACGGUACCUAGUCAGAAAGCCACGGCUAACUACGUG
rnacentral:rRNA from 1 species